rnacentral:rRNA from 1 species
AUUGAACGCUGGCGGUAUGCCUUACACAUGCAAGUCGAACGGCAGCAUGGGUGCUUGCACCUGAUGGCGAGUGGCGAACGGGUGAGUAAUGCAUCGGAACGUACCCGGAAGUGGGGGAUAACGUAGCGAAAGUUACGCUAAUACCGCAUAUUCUGUGAGCAGGAAAGCGGGGGAUCGCAAGACCUCGCGCUUCCGGAGCGGCCGAUGUCGGAUUAGCUAGUUGGCGGGGUAAAGGCCCACCAAGGCAACGAUCCGUAGCGGGUCUGAGAGGAUGAUCCGCCACACUGGGACUGAGACACGGCCCAGACUCCUACGGGAGGCAGCAGUGGGGAAUUUUGGACAAUGGGCGCAAGCCUGAUCCAGCCAUGCCGCGUGAGUGAAGAAGGCCUC